rnacentral:lncRNA from 1 species
AUUAAGUUAUUUAUAAGUACAAAUUUAGGGAGUUUAAUUAGAAUAGAAAAAUAGUAAAGAUUGGGGAAGAACAUGAGACUAGUGCCCCAGUUAUAAUUUUAAAUCUUAGGCAUGGUUAGGGAAAAUAAGGCCAAAAGAAAAAAAAAAUAGAAUUACAACGACAAGAGUGGUAUGGUAUGCGUGUAAAGGAACUUUUAACAAUGGACACUCGCAGUCGCAGAGACCACUGCAUGCAAUUAUGCCUUUCAGCAAUUUUUAUUACUUUUAAGGCUCACUUUUUCCCGC